rnacentral:rRNA from 1 species
GAUGAACGCUAGCUACAGGCUUAACACAUGCAAGUCGAGGGGAAACGGCAUUUAGUGCUUGCACUGAAUGGACGUCGACCGGCGCACGGGUGAGUAACGCGUAUCCAACCUUCCCAUUACUGUGGGAUAACCUGCCGAAAGGCAGACUAAUACCGCAUAGUCUUCGAUGACGGCAUCAGAUUUGAAGUAAAGAUUUAUCGGUAAUGGAUGGGGAUGCGUCUGAUUAGCUUGUUGGCGGGGUAACGGCCCACCAAGGCAACGAUCAGUAGGGGUUCUGAGAGGAAGGUCCCCCACAUUGGAACUGAGACACGGUCCAAACUCCUACGGGAGGCAGCAGUGAGGAAUAUUGGUCAAUGGACGGAAGUCUGAACCAGCCAAGUAGCGUGCAGGAAGACGGCCCUAUGGGUUGUAAACUGCUUUUAUACGAGAAUAAUUUGAUGCACGUGUGCGUUAUUGCAUGUAUCGUAUGAAUAAGGACCGGCUAAUUCCGUGCCAGCAGCCGCGGUAAUACGGAAGGUCCAGGCGUUAUCCGGAUUUAUUGGGUUUAAAGGGAGUGUAGGCGGUUUGUUAAGCGUGUUGUGAAAUUUAGAUGCUCAACAUUUAACUUGCAGCGCGAACUGUCAGACUUGAGUACACGCAACGUAUGCGGAAUUCAUGGUGUAGCGGUGAAAUGCUUAGAUGUCAUGAAGAACUCCGAUUGCGAAGGCAGCAUACGGGAGUGUAACUGACGCUUAAGCUCGAAGGUGCGGGUAUCGAACAGG